ACGACUUAUUGCUUGUAUUAAUUUGCUGCGGCCCCACGAAAAUUGAAAGCAAGAAAAAAUGCCGGCCCCUCCGAAAGGACCCCGCGUGUCGGCAGCGCAGACCACUCUGCUUGUCAUGUUAAUUGAGCAGCACCCGUACUUGGCGAGAGGCGCCACAAGCCUCUCGCCAAGUAUGAGUCCUGCUCAGAAAAAAGCGCUUUGGCAGGAGUUAACUGCCGCGCUGAACGCGCUAGGGCCGGCUGUGAAAACAGCUCGGCGCUGGCGCCAGUAUUGGGCGCGGAUAGUGUACGACUGCAAAAAACUUGCCGCGCAAGUAGGGUCCGAAAAGAGGUGAGCCCGCAGUUAGCAAUAUACUUCGGAACGUAAGCUCACUGUCUUCAUGCUUUUGCAGAAAACCGGAGGCGGCAAGCUGGGCGGGCUGGAGGGCCGCGUCAUAUAAGUUUUAGGACGGCUCGGCCCAGCCUACGCGCCGGUGGCCUUUUUGAGGAUGACGCCGAGCAGGAAAGCUCGAGUGAGGAGGAGGUCACUGCCGCCCACGUGUCUCUCCCGACAGCCCCACCCCAUGUGUCUGUGGGCACAGAGCCGGGGACGAGCGGCACUGAACGUAAGGCACUUUAACAGCAAUUGCAAUGCGAAGCCUUCAGAACAAAGCACUGCCUGUUCUGACCUCUUAAACAGAAAAAAUGUAUUUCACAUAGUCACCUACAAAGAACCACAACUACUCCCUGCCAUAACGUGACUGUGCAAGACGAAACUAUAUUCUGUUUGACUAUUCAUACCCCUUGUAAUGCAGCUUCUGUAGCGUUCAAGUUGUCGUGAAAAAAUUAGUAUUGGUGCAGCAUUUUGCAAUGCUGUGGUGCCGCUUUAUUUAUUUAUCCAAAUGUAAGGUUUAUAUUGCCUAGUUUGUUGCCGGGAAUAUUUUCCUAUGUUUCCACCCAUGAUAAUGAACCAGUGAAUGUUCAACACAGAAGAACACAACAAAUGUUUUUAUCCUCUUUGCCCAUUUAAUUUUUAAGGACCAUCAGCUCAGCAGCAGCCACGCAGGCCACCUCGACAGCAGUAACCACUGGAGGCUGCGGCCUGCAGGGCAGCAGCGGAACACGCCAGGCAGGGGCAGCUGGCGCAGGUAGCAAACGUGGAGGCCGUCAGCUUCCACCGGAUGCUGCUUGAUCAAAGCAGGCAGCAUCAUCAGCAGCUGGCGGAGGAGCUGAGGGCCUCCCGCGGGUUGCAACAGCAGCUGGCAGUGGAGAUGUGGGGCUUGCAGGAUACGACUGCCCUCAUCGCAUCCACCUUGCGCCAGCUCGUGACUGCCCUCGCCCAUGGCCUCCGCGAGCCGCCUCAGCCGUAGUGGUGACAAAUGUUGCUGCUACUUCUGUUUUUUAAUAUGUUGUGUUUCGAAGAAUUCAUAAGUUAUAGUUUUUUUGUCAUGUGUAGUUUCACUUGCUGAGCAAGUUUGUCUCAGUGAGAAUGGCAGUGAGUGAACUGUACUUCUAAUGUUUCAUCCUUUUGGUUAGGUGCGUGCUUUCGAUUUUCUGUUUCUGCUCUAUUUAAGUAGGUGCUGCUUUUCAAGGAACAUGUUGACUAUGUGCUCACUUUUAUUUUAGCCACAACAAUGUUUCACACACAAAUUUUGUGGUAACUGGUAUUGGAAUCCACUGUUAUGAUUUCCAUGCUAUAUGUGUGUCAUGUUUCCAAUUUCAAGUUUUUUCGCCUAUGGAAGGCACGAGUGGCCAUAUUAUUAUUUCCUUUAGCAACAAGUGCGUGUUACUUGCAAUAGUUAUUGCGAUAUAUCAGGGUGGCCUUAUCGAUGAUAACAAUACAGUCUAGUCCCCAUUGUUGUUGAGAACAAUUUUUGAUACACCCAACAUAGCCAUCGAUAGCCAUCGGCAACAUUCACUGCCAGGCUGUUCUUGUUGGCAUUGUUAUAUGGAAGAUUAUCAAAGUUCAAAGUUUUUUCUCACGUGUGUCGUUCUUAAAAGUGCUGACUGCACUUUUACACUGGUGGUCUUAUUAUGACAGUAGUCAUUGAAAAUAACAUCUAUUUUGUGCUACAAGCAUGGCGGAUGCAUAACAGGCAAGACUCGCGAGACAUUUUGUGCUGUUAGGUUGCUGGGUGAACGCAAAUGGUUGUGGAUGACCACAAAGAAAAACAUUAUCAAUGUCAUACAUUUGUGUGCCAGCGGCCUUUCACAAUGUAUUAGAACCCAUGUAGUGAAAACCGUACUGUUAUUUUGGCACCGUGAAAUCGUACAGUGUGUACAUUGAUUUGUAUCAUGAUGACAGUUAUUCACUUUGAAUAUGAAAGAUGUGUUGAAAUUUUUAUUUACUGUGGGGACGUGAAGAAGUGAUUUUCAGGAACAUCACUGGCACUUGAUAUGACUAUUUACAAAUAUAUGUACAAUUAUACAGCUAUUUACAAAUGAAUGCACAUCCAAGAGAGCAUAAUGUGCUUGACAUGCCAGGCGAUCUGUGGAGCACGACUUGGCCUGUUGCAAAGGAACUGUGAGGAGGCUGUGUGGCAAAGCUGUGCAGUGCCUGCAAGGUGUGCGAGAACAAUGCAUAUGAUGGAGCGAGAAGGGUUGUCCUUUACUGCAGCCCAAGCAGGAAGCGAGGGGACGAAGUCCACUAUCCUCCCAUGCACAGUGCCGACGGCGGUGAACAUUGGCGGUGAUGCCAGCAGAUAAAUGCAUCAAGUUGACACUAGUAAUAGCAGCAGCAGCAGCAGCAAAUGGACCGGCAAACUCCUGCUGCCCAGACAAGUGGCUACGACAUUCUGCUAAUGACCACAACGUUGUCUAUCCACAACUGCUAAGUGAAAGGCUCAUGUAGGGUCGCAGUGGAAUGAUGCAAUCCACCUCCAGUAGUGACAGCUCAUUGGUACAGGCUACAUAAAAAGCAAUGGUGAUAAUUUAGCAGAUUGUAUAAAAAAACAGCAGGCUAUACACUAAUUGCCAACGCGCCUUCACGUUGGUUCCUUCUCUUUAUUAGACAUAUGUGCCUGACACUGCA